rnacentral:rRNA from 1 species
GACGAACGCUGGCGGCGUGCUUAACACAUGCAAGUCGAACGUGAUUUUUGUGGAAAUUCUUUCGGGAAUGGAAAUGAAAUGAAAGUGGCGAACGGGUGAGUAACACGUGAGCAACCUACCUUACACAGGGGGAUAGCCGUUGGAAACGACGAUUAAUACCGCAUGAGACCACAGAAUCGCAUGAUAUAGGGGUCAAAGAUUUAUCGGUGUAAGAAGGGCUCGCGUCUGAUUAGCUAGUUGGAAGGGUAAAGGCCUACCAAGGCGACGAUCAGUAGCCGGUCUGAGAGGAUGAACGGCCACAUUGGAACUGAGACACGGUCCAAACUCCUACGGGAGGCAGCAGUGGGGAAUAUUGCACAAUGGGGGGAACCCUGAUGCAGCGACGCCGC